CCUCCUUUCAUUGAUGCUGGAUCUAUUGUUUUGCAUAAAAUCGAAUUUUCAGUGUUUUCCUCAUGCCAUGGUUUUAUUUUAAGGUUUAGAAAGCCAAUUGGUAUAUAUUCACCGACAACAUUGCACAUGUUGCAUGUAUUCUUUUAUGAUUUUUUUUUUAGUGUGGAAAAAAUGCCUUUUAAAAGUGCAAAAAAAGUAUUGUCCAGUUGACCAGUCCAGACUUUGUUUACUAACAGUAUAUUUAAAUUACUUUUUAUAACAAC
rnacentral:lncRNA from 1 species